rnacentral:misc_RNA from 1 species
UUAACUAUUACAUAGUACUCAGACGACAUAAUAAAAGAGUUUUGGGGUCCUCUGGCAGGCACAGACCAGCCAAAGCCGGUGGUCAUGAGACGGGCCUGCCAAAGCAACAAAGGUAUUGUAAACAAAGGGUGGAGAUCUACCCCAAGGGGCAAGUUCUCUGUAAUGAUCCUUCCGCAGGUUCACCUACGGAAA